CUCUCUCUCUCUCUCUCUCUCUCUCUCUCUCUCUCUCUCUCUCUCUCACCGCUGCAUCCCUCCUGCACCCUUCUUGGGGACCAGACCUUUGAAGAGCUGCUCGGGGUAAUGGGAAACUAAAAACUGAAGGUGAAGAGAGAUAGGAAUUAGGGCUGGGUCACCUUGUGGAACUGUGAGUACGCACAGGUGGCCAAGGCAUUUAGACGACUCAGGUCCGAGAUGAGAAUGCUGAAUCUAGAUAACUAGGAAGUCGAGCACUGGGUAAAACCAGAAGUAGUCAUCUCGCUCCGGGGCGUCUCAGAUGAUCACACAAGAGGGAUCCCCAGCGGUCAAAGGAGAGGGAAAUGCCCCUCUACUUUGUGACAAGGGACAGGCAUCUUCUGGCCAUCUCCAGCUGAUGUGGAUCAGGUAGCUGGGUGUUGGAUGGCAGAAGAGGUUUGAAGGUUCAAGACCACCGCCUCUGCUCUGCCUACCCUGCCCGGAGAGGGAAGAAGGACUAGCGGAAGAGAGAGUGUUGAUUAGAAGCUAGUGAGGGCGCACUGACACCUGCUGGCGGCUCGCGGGCAAUGCUGAAGAGUUUCACACACAGGAUUUUGGAAGGACCUGAGAAUCCCACCGUGGAUAAUCAAGGCUUCACUCUAAGAUGUCUCCCACGUUUAAUAAUAACAAUAAUGCCUAAGGAAGGGUGUUUUCUGUUUUCAAAUAACAUUGGAAUAUGUUUUUUCUACUUCC